GCUGCUCCCAAGGUCCCCCAACCACGGUCCAAGGGUUGCAACCCCCAAAGCCACAGCAGGGAUGUUGGAAAUAACUUCCAUAGAAAAGAGCUGUUGUGUUGUCCUUGUUUCCUGUUCCUAAGGGCUGCUGCUCCAAAGGUCCUGUUGUCACCUCUGGAAUACUGAGCAGGUUUGGAAGUACUGAGCAGGUUUGCAUUUUGAAAUGCAGAGAUUAAAUUCCAGUUGCUGAAAGAGGAUCAAGGACCUGGGUACCACAAUACCUGCAGAGUCUGGCUCAGAGUGGACUGAAAAGGCCUUUGCACUAAAGGGGAACAAAUGGAAACCACAAUGGUUUCCUCUUCCAUUAGAAGAAUAUUCAAAGGGAAGCUGGAUUCUCCCUCUUUUCUUUUUGAAGCCCCCUUAAAGUGGGAUGUUUUAGCAAUAUGCAGCCAACUUUGCUUGUGCAGUAAAUAUAAAUAAAAAUAUAACCCUGGUACAGAGCAAAUGUAAUGGGAAAAGAAUAUCCUAGACCUGGGGACUUGGACCUUUGGGGCUAACAGGAUUUCUGAAGAUGGUGUCACGCUUUCCCCUCUCUUUAGGGCUCACUUAAGGAGCUCACCUGCAUUUUUACAGCUGUAACAUGAAGGCAUUAAGAAGCAUCUGGAGCUGUUGCACCUCUGCUCCUGAAAAAUGCAAAUCCCAAACUCUGUAUUCAUAGGAUCCUGAAGAUCAAAGACACAGCUCUGUGGAUGUGGCAUGGCUCUGCUGCUCCUGCUGAGAAAGUCAGCCCGUGGGGACAGCUUUGGGAGCUGCUGGCCGAGCUGAGAACAGCCAAAGAAGCUGCUCUCACAUUCCUAUUCCAGGUUUUACCUGCUGUGCUCUCAGGGCUUUGUGAGCCUGUCUCCUGAGGGAUCACCCACUGCCAGCCUGGCUUUCCAGAGGUGAGGACUGCACAAUUUUCCAGCUGCAGUUUGUAGAGAAAAUUGCUCCUGGAAAUACAUUGCAAAGCUGAUUCUUCAGACCAGGAAUGCUUCUCCUUAAGCCCGUCUCCGAGGAAUACAUAAUGUAAUAAAGCAGACAAAAGUUCCUGUGAAUAGGGGAACUUUAUCAGGACUGCUCCUGGGGUGCUCAUCACAGCCUCAUCACGGAGCGACGUGACAGCAAUGCCAGGCCUUCUCAGACUUUCUACCUUAGAGCACAGCAUGCAAAAGGAAAAGCAGUUCCCUAAAUGCCCUCAAUCCCUCCACAAAAGGCUCCAUUCUUCCACAGCUUUGGGACAGGAGCAGAGGAGAAUUCCACCCACCCCUCCGGAAUCAGCAUCAGAACAGCAGCGCUGAGGAUUUGCAUGGAGCACCCAGCAGCUCCUGCUCGUGGAGCUGUGAAUGUGUUCAUUUUUUAGCUUCAACAAGGUCAUUCCCACUGCUAAGCAUAAUCCUGACACAUUAGCAGGAGUGCUGUCCAAUUCAUUCGCACUCCAUUAAGCAGCAGCACUGCCGGGAAGGUUUUCCUCCUCUCUCAGACUUCCUUCCCCCCCAGUCACACACAGGGAAUCAUCUCUCAGGAGCUCAGGUGGCCAUGAGGAGAACACAUCAUGUCCUGCAGUGCCUGCUUCCCAAGGUGGCUGUGAAACCUGAGGCAUUUUGGUGGGACUGGGGAUGGCCCAGUGUAGUGACUGGGCUGUAAACUGGACAUCCUUUUCCCUGCAGGGCAGUGCACAGUGACAUCCCACGGCCUCUGUACCAUUGCUCAGGGAUUUUCCUCUGCUCUGCUCUUCUUGAGCUUCAGAAAAGUCACCAGAGUUUCAAAUGUCGCCGUUGUCAACUUUUUGUCAUUCCAGAGGAAAGUGGCAGCUGAUUUUUCUGUUGCUUCCACCUGGGAUUUCCAUCAAAAUCUCUCCAGGCCACUGCCUGCAUUUCAGACUUGCUUCCUGGGAAAACACAGUGCUGGGGUUUUGACAGCAACCUUUCCACCGAGUUGGAAAGAUCCUCUGUGGGUUUGUU